rnacentral:lncRNA from 1 species
GAGAAGAUCACCAUGGACUUCGUGAUGGGAUUGCCUCGCUCACAGGCCGGGCAUGACGCUAUUUGGGUGAUUGUGGAUAGGUUGACGAAAUCGGCACAUUUCAUACCUAUCCACACUACUUGGUCUGGUGAGAGACUCGCACAGGUUUAUUUGGAUGAGAUUGUGUGAUUGCACGGGGUACCUACUUCCAUAGUAUCAGAUCGAGACCCCCGUUUUGUAUCCCACUUUUGGAGGAGCUUACAGGACGCUCUGGGUACGCGUUUGGACUUUAGUACAGCCUUCCACCCCCAGAGUGACGGGUAGUCGGAGCGUACUAUACAGACUCUCGAGGACAUGCUUCGAGCCUGCGUGAUCGACUUCCAGGGAGGAUGGUCGCUGCAUCUACCGAUGGCAGAGUUUGCUUAUAACAAUAGUUAUCAAGCAAGCAUCAAGAUGGCACCGUUCGAGGCACUAUAUGGACGGAAGUGUAGGUCGCCGCUUCAUUGGAGUGAAGUUGCCGAGAGAUUGGCUUUAGGCCCAGAUGUGCUCCAGGAAGCAAAGGACAAGGUUCGUAUUGCUCGGGAGCGAUUGUUGACGGCCCAGAGUAGGCAGAGGAGUUAUGUUGACAGGCGGCGAUGAGACUUGGAGUUUCAGAUUGGAGAUCACGUCUUCUUGAAAGUCUCGCCGACUCGAGGAAUUAGACGAUUUGGAAUCCGGGGCAAGUUGAGCCCCCGAUAUAUUGGACCGUAUGAGGUUUUGGAGCGUGUAGGCCCAGUAGCGUAUCGACUUGCUCUACCGCCGAACCUAUCGGGUGUACACAAUGUAUUCCAUGUAUCGGUCCUUCGGAAGUACAUCCACGACCCGGCUCAUGUAUUGGAUGCUACACCUAUGGAGCUGCGGGAGGGUUUGAGCUUUGAGGAGCAACCCUUGAGAAUUUUGGCUCGCGAGGUAAAAAGAUUGCGGAACCGAAAAAUUCUCUACGUGAAGGUGCUUUGGAGCAACCACGACGAGCGCGAGGCCACUUAGGAGUUGGAGAGCGCACUGCGGGAGCGCUAUCCCCAUCUUUUUCAGAUGGAGGCUUGAGGUACUUUGUUGUUUCGAGUUUCGCGGACGAAACUCCUUUUUAGGAGGGGUGAAUGUAACACACUGGACCUUUGCAAAUUGCGAGGUUCGAGUGAUUAGCUGUGCUCUGAGCUUUUCCAGAUUUCCUGGUAGGUCGAUGACUGUGUUCCGACCUAUGGCACGUGUCCCAAGGAGUGUGGUACAAAGCCUUGCACUAAAACCCAAAAAUUUGGAUUUUGGUCAGCUCUCGGAUUGGCUGUCUGGCGGGCUUGUACCGGUACAAGGUUGUGCUUGUACCGGUACAGAGCCGCGAACUCGCAAACCCGAGCCUCGGGUUUGCAUUUUCGCAGGUCUCGUACCGAUACAAGGAUGGUCUUGUACCGGUACAAUGUUGAUGGUUGUACCGGUACAGCCAUCGGGCUUGUACCGGUACAGUGCCGCAGAACCACGCACCCGAGCCUCGGUUUUGGAUUUUCGUAGCUCUUGUACCUGUACAAGAUCCCGUGUACCGGUACAAGGAGGCAGAUUCUGCACAGUUUGUUCUGCAGGGGCUUAUUUGCGAUUGUGGGCUUCUUAUAACAGCACCCACGCCCCUAGGGCACUCCCCUGAGCUCGGAAGAGCAGAGAACCAGGUAAGGAAGCUUCCCACACUUUCCCACUUGGUUUUGAUUUCAUUCUAGUUUGGAUUUUGAUGGUUUUUCCCUCUCUUUUGCCUAUUGGAACUAUUUCCACCAUUUUUGAAGCUUGGAGCUUGGGUUUGGAGUUUGUUUGAGGGAAGAUACUUGAAGUUUGAGGACUUGUUCAGAGACCGGCGACAGGGGCAGCAUUCCCCGUGAUGGCCGAGGGAGCCGAGCGGGAUCGGCUUAUGGAGCGCCUCAGUGAGUUCAGGAGGUGCAGCCCGAGGAUGUUUGAUGGCGAGAACGUCGACCCCUGGAUUGUCGAGAAGUGGUUGAUGCAUAUGGAAAAGCUGUUUCGAGACACUUUUGUGGAGGAGCGGGACAGAGUUUGGCUCGCCACUCACUUUCUGGACGGCGAGGCCUACCGUUGGUGGUUGGAUAUCCAGGACAACCCCAACACCGACUUGGCAGCGAUUACUUGGACUAGGUUCAAGGAGCUUCUUCUGGCGCACCACUUUCCUACCAGCGUCAAGAGGAAGAUGGAGCAUGAUUUGCGCAGCUUGCGCCAGGAUGAGCGGUCAGUGGCUUAGUACGAGAGGGAGUUCUCCCGGAUACUACACUGUGUACCGUUUGUUGUGAGGGACGACGAGGACAAGGCCCGCAUCUUUGAGCGCAGUUUGCGGCCUUCUAUCUUCCGGUUGGUGCAAUCUUCCAACCUCUAGACCUAUCGGGAGGUUGUGGAUCGAGCAUUCAUAGUGGAGGCAGGAGCGGCAGAUCUUCAGGAGCGACGCGAGGCCCUAGAUAAGGGCAAGGGCAAGAGGCCAGCGGCUGAGGGUGCGAGUCAGACGCACUCACGGAGGCCGCCGAGGCAUCCCAGGAGCAGGAGCCAGUCGCGAGGACGCGGCCAGUCUACCCAGCGAGGAGGACCCGAUCGUCGCCAGGCCCCCCGCUGCGUGAUCUGUGGCGGUCCUCACUACCCGCGGCAGUGUUCACGCAGCCGGGGCAGGUGCUUCUUGUUUGGCCAGGAGGGCCACUUCCAGUCGGACUGCCCGAGGAGUCCAUUGCCAGCGCCAUCUGCGGCAUCUGCACCAGCAUCGCCAGGUCCCAGCCAGGGGACAUCUUCUGCGCAUCACCAGGCAGGACGGCCGCCAGUUUUGCGGCAGGCGGAGGGGUCACGACGGGCCCCGAGCGGGCGCAUGUAUGCGGCCCAGACUGAGGAGGUGGCGGCAGCCGAAAAUGUGGUCGCAGGUAUCACUUUACUUCAUAGUAUUCGAGUUAGAACAUUGUUUGAUACCGGUGCAUCGCAUUCAUUCAUUGAUCGGCUGUUUGCCGAGCUGCAUGGCAUGUAACACACUGGACCUUUGCAAAUUGCGAGGUUCGAGUGUUCGAGCUGUGUGCUGAGCAAUUCCAGAUUUUCUGGUGGGUCGUUGACAGUGUUCCGGCCUAUGGCUCGCAUCACGAGAAGUGAGGUUUAAAGCCGAGCACGAAAACCCGAAAAUCGGAUUUUUGGUUAGCUCUCGGGUUGCCUUCAGAGGGCUGUGUACCGGUACGGGAGCGAUGGCUGUACCGGUACAGCCAUCGACUUUGGCCGCUUCUCAGCCAACCCGAGGCUCGGGCUGGGCGUUUUCGCAGGAAGUGUACCGGUACGCGGGCCCGUGUACCUGUACGCAGUGCAGAUUCUGAGCAGUUUGAACUGCAGGGGUGUUUUUGCAAAGUGGCUUCUCUAUAAGUGUCCCCACGCCCCUAGGGCUUCUCCCUGAGCUGGGUAGCAGGGAGAGCAAGGUAAGGGAGCUCUCUUUUCUCCCUCUUUGCUUUCCUUUGAUUUAUGUUGGGUUUUUGAUGAUUAAACUCUCCUUUUGCUCUCUUUUUGCUUUUCGGUGGCUUUUCCUCCAUGGGAGAAGCUUGGGCUUGGCGUUUGGAGCUUGUUGGAGGGUAGGAGCUCAACCCUAGCUGAUUUCUAGGGUGGUUUGGAGCUUCUCUUGAGGUUGGUUGCUUACUAAUUCCCUUUUUAUCAUGAUUUUUGUAUACAAACCCUAGAAAUGGAUAUUUAGGGUUUGUUUUGGGGAUUUUUGAUUUGAGGCCUUUGGAGCCCAAUUGAUCUUAUUAGAAUCUUUAUCUAGGUUGGUUUGGAAGGGAUCUAGCUCCCAUUUGGAGCUUGGGAAGGAUUUUCUUCUCUUAGGUGAGAUUUUAGCCCUUUUGCCUUGAUGGUUAAUGUUUAACCUAUUAGUUGUUCGUAAUCCUUGUGUAUCCCUUCGCUCAUUACUUUUAGGGUAUUUUGAGACUCGUGGACAACUCCGUUCGGCGAAACGAGGGACUACGCGACGGUUCGGUGGGUUUGGCCUAGCCACAUAAUGAGAAAAUCUCAUUGUUGAUGAUUUAAGUAUUGUAAAAUGAAAAAGCAUGCAUAUUCAUGUUCGAUGCAUUAUUUGUGAAUUUUAGAAUGCUUAAAAUGCACAUGUUAUAUACAAUGCAUAUUUGACCUCUAUCUGGUAGAGAGUUUUCAUGUUGGGCUAGGGGCCUAUGGUUAGCAUUCUUACAUUUGAUUAAGAUCAUGUUGCAUAUGGUGCUUAUGGCACAUAGAUCACACUCUUGGACUUAGAACGCAUACUUGACAUGGUUGGUCAUAUCGACCUUAAGUGACAUAGGUUGGAGUGUAUACAAAUGGUAAGCUAAUGUCAUAAAGCGGCAUUAGGCUUGGACUAGAGAUGGACUUAGCAAGCUAAUGUCAUAAAGCGGCAUUAGACUUGAUGGAUAUGUAAAUUGCAUUUGCAUGUUAUUAUAUUGAGAAAUUAUGCCAAGUGGAUAGUUGCAUUGGAAAGAACAUACAUGUGGCAAUAUGAGAACACACUAGAAAGCAUGUGUAUUAAUCUAUUAUUGAUAGAACAAGUUAACGUCAUAAAGAGACUUAGCAGGUGAAAUGUGCUUAGAUUAUAGCAAUGUUUAAAUGUCAUAAAGAGGCACUAAACAUAGUGAAUGUGGGAACUUCACCUUGAGAUUUGGACUUAGUAAAGCUAAGGUCAUUGACAUCGAAAUUAUUGAACGGUUUAACCUUCACAUUGAGACAUAGUACUAAACCUUUGGGUUGCUAGUGACUGUUACCAUGUUAGAGACAUGAUGAUUGGGUACUUGAGGUUUUGACCAUGCUUGCUUGCCAUUUGUGCUCAUUCGCACAUGCUUGUACGGGUCGCUCCCUACAAGCCGGCACUCCGGAGUUACCCUGCGCGACAUAUGCUCGCUCGUACGGUAUUGAGAAGCCUACGGGGUCGAGUGGGACAGACACAUUCCAAGGGCAGGAAUGUUGGGCUACCACAGGCACUUAGGCGGCACAAGCCGGACUACACCCGUGUAGAUCCUGAAUGAGAUUGAACCAAAAUAUUAAACAUCAAGUUGAUAAUCACUACUAGAGAGGUCAUAGUAGUUGGAUUCCGUAACAUGCUACGGCAUAGGGUCGGACAUUGAGAUUCAUAGGAUACUUGACGGUAUCGCUGAUGGCAUCGUAGUGUACUUGGUUGCCAGGAUAGUACAUACUAGAUAUGUGGUUGGUUUUGAGACAUAUGUCAUACUUCAUAGUAUUACACGUUGCAUCAUAGCUUAUUUGUUUAAGUACUGGCAUACUGGUUCAUGUAGAGUAGAUGUACUUCAUGUUGACAUUCUACAUACUUAUGGCAUAGUAGAGUAGCAUCUUAUUAUUAUGCUUCAUUUACCGCAGUUAAAUUCUAUUAACUUUAUCUGCUCUCUUUUGGGCCUAGUGGUGCAGUUGGUGCAGGUCAGUAAUUGCCCACUGGGAACUAUAAAUUAUAGUUCUCAUGCCCCCUGUUUUAUGUUUUCUUUCAGAGCCUUCCACUUCGGGAGGGGCUCGGGAUCGCGGGAAAGGUUUCGCCUCAAGCUAGCUACCGAGGGAUUUGGCGUUAGGUGGUCUACCUCUCUUUUGUUUUGCGUUGGAGAGGUUGUGAGAGUUUUGUACCUUGUUAUAGAGACCACCCUACUUUUGUAUCUGGAGACUUAUGAUGUAUUAGUUUCUUUAUGUUCUAGUGGUUUAGUCUCUUUCUCUUUCCUUUCUAUUUCCGCUUGUUGAUAGAACUUAGCUGCAUGCUUGCUCUGAUAUCGUUAGUUAUUGUUUAUUUUGUCUUUCAUAUCACUUUGUUGUAGACGCCUUAUAUGUGCAGGCAUAUGGCGGGUCUGGGCACGCACCGGGCAGGGCCUUUGCCGGGUCCCGGGGCGUGACAUGGCAUCCCACUUGUAUCCUUUUUACAUCCGGGCCGAGUUGUUGUACCCGAUCAUUCUUUGGACAUUCGGGAGUUUUGCCCCAGUUGCCCUAUUCGGGUUGGAGAUUGGAUCAUGCCCGUGGACUUGUUAGCUUUGCAUAAACUCGGGGAGUUUGAUGUUGUGUUGGGCAUGGAUUGGUUGAUUAAGUACUUCGCCACUAUCGAUUGUAAGAAUCGAACGGUGACUUUUAAAGAGCCAGGGCAGACGGAGGUUGUGUACCCAGGAUGCCAGAGUUCGCUGUUUGCGAUGACGAUUAGCUCUUCUCGAGCUCGGCAGUUGAUUAGUAGAGGCUCCGUAGCCUACUUGGCUACUGUUGUGUUGCGGGGUGAGGGUGACGCCCCUAGGAUUGAGGAUAUUCCCGUAGUGCGGGAGUUUCGAGAUGUGUUUCCAGCGGAGCUACCAGGUAUGCCUCCUGAUAGGGAGAUUGAGUUUAUGGUAGAUCUCGUCCCCGGGACUACCCCGAUCUCAAAGGCACCCUAUAGGAUGGCACCAGCAGAAUUGAAGGAGCUGAAGGCACAGUUGCAGGAUCUUCUGGAUAAAGGUUUCGUGCGACCAAGUGUGUCACCUUGGGGAGCACCGGUCUUAUUUGUGAGAAGAAGGAUGGAUCAUUUCACUUGUGCAUUGAUUAUCGCGAACUUAAUAAAGUCACGAUCAAGAACAAGUAUCCAUUAUCGAGGAUUGAUGAUCUAUUUGAUCAGCUCCAGGGAUCAUGUGUAUAUUCCAAGAUUGACUUACAGUCGGGAUAUCACCAGUUGAGGAUCAGACCUGAGGAUGUGUCGAAGACGGCUUUUAGGACACGGUAUGGACACUAUGAGUUUACUGUUAUGCCGUUCGGGCUUACCAAUGCCCCGGCAGCUUUUCUGGACCUGAUGAACCGUGUUUUCAAGCCUUAUUUAGACAGGUUCGUUGUGGUGUUUAUCGACGACAUCUUAGUGUAUUCCCGGAGUGACGUGGAUCACGAGGAACACUUGAGACUUGUACUUCAAGUGCUUCGGGAAAAGAAGCUCUACGCCAAGUUGAAAAAGUAUGAAUUUUGGCUUAGAGAGGUGGCGUUUUUGGGCCAUGUGAUUUCAGGAUCAGGGAUAGCUGUGGAUACAAGGAAAAUUGAGGCUAUCAAGGAUUGGCCGAGGCCGACGAGCGUGACCGAGAUACGGAGCUUCAUUGGUUUGGCCGGCUACUACCGACGGUUCGUCGAGGGAUUUGCAAAGUUAUCUACUCCCCUCACGAGACUCACGCAUAAGGGCACCAAGUUUAUUUGGAAUGAUGCGUGUGAAAGGAGCUUCCAAGAGUUGAAGCAACGAUUGACGACCGCCCCGAUCCUAACCUUGCCAACUGCUGGAGCAGGGUAUGUGAUUUAUAGUAAUGCUUCAUUUAAUGGAUUGGACUGUGUUUUGAUGCAGGACGGGAAAGUGAUCGCGUAUGCAUCUCGCCAAUUGAAGGACUAUGAAAGGAAUUACCCCACUCACGACUUGGAGUUGGCGGCCGUAGUCUUUGCAUUGAAGCUAUGGCGCCACUACUUAUAUGGCGAGCGGUGCGAAGUAUAUACGGAUCACAAGAGCUUAAAGUAUCUUUUCACUCAGAAGGAGUUGAACUUGAGGCAGCGCAGAUGGUUGGAGCUACUCAAGGAUUAUGAUUUGACGAUACUUUACCACCCGGGUAAGGCUAACGUGGUGGCGGAUGCGCUAAGUCGGAAAUCGACGGAGAACUUAGCGAUGCUAAUGGUUACUCAACCGCCGUUGAUCGAGCAGAUGAAGCGGUUGGAGUUGGAGGUGGUGGCUCCUGAUACACCUUUGAGGUUGAUGACUUUGGUGGUGCAACCUACACUUUUGGAAAAGAUUAAAGAAAAGCAAGCUUCCGACUCGGAGUUGCAAAAGAUUCGAACUAAAAUGGUUGAUGGUUGCACCGGUGACUUCGCUUUAGACGGUGAUGGAUUGAUGCGUUUCCGCGGACGACUUUGUGUGCCGGCGGACUCGGGCAUUAAAGAGGACAUUCUUCAAGAAGCACACCGAGCACCGUAUGCUAUACACCCGGGAGGCACCAAGAUGUAUAAGGACUUAAAGUUGCUUUACUGGUAGCCCGGGAUGAAAAAGGAUGUUGGUGAGUUUGUUGCUAGAUGUUUGACUUGCCAACAGGUGAAGGCUGAGCACUGAGUUCAUGCGGGGAAGUUGCAGAGCCUACCGAUUCCAGUGUGGAAAUGGAAAAAGAUCACCAUGGAUUUCGUGAUGGGAUUGCCUCGCUCACAGGCCGGGCAUGACGCUAUUUGGGUGAUCGUGGAUAGAUUGAUGAAAUCAGCACAUUUCAUACCUAUCCACACUACUUGGACUGGUGAGAAACUCGCACAGGUUUAUUUGAACGAGAUUGUGCGACUACAUGGGGUACCUACUUCUAUAGUAUCGGAUCGAGAUCCCCGUUUUGUAUCCCACUUUUGGAGGAGCUUACAGGACGCGUUGGGUACGCGCUUGGAUUUCAGCACUGCUUUCCACCCCCAGAGUGACGGGCAGUCGGAGCGUACGAUACAGACCCU